CGGUCCGCCACAUCUGGGCGAAUGGAUCCCUAACGAAAGAUUACGUACUGAUAUGGCGGGAUUAUUCGACUUUCUGACGGUCGAGUCAAUUUCUAAUCGAAAGUUUACGAUCUUAAUCCCUAGAUUUGGAAGAGAGGAAAAAAUUGUUGGUCGAGCAUAGGAGACGAAGCGAGACAAUUUGAAGCCAGAUGCUUAAACCCUAGACUGGAAAUGGACAGCUCUCCUGUAAAAUGUAUACUCACUAUCUGCACCGCCGAGCUGACCGACUGCGUCAAUGAAGCGUUCAUGAAGCUCUGGUGUCCAUUUCAAUCGCGGCUUAGCAUCAGUUGAUAGAACCAGUCCUGUAUCUACCCGGCCAUUUCCACCAUGCAUGAGCAUAUGCCUUUCUUGAGGAACCAAUAUCCUUGAUGAAGAUUGGAAAACUAAAGAAUCAUUUUCCAGUUCGUGUGUUUUUAAUUGGUUAACAACGGAAUAUAUGAAAGAACGCGAAGAAGAUUCUAUUGACUUGAGCAUCUAAGAACUGGGGAAUUAGAUACAAUUAAGAUAGAGAAAAAUGGAAACAAAAUAUCUAUCCUGGUUAUUUGCUCGAUUAGAUGGUCCCACCGACGAAUUUGAAAAAUUCGGAACCGAAAGGAAAAGGUUUGUACUUGCUUCAAUACUUGCUAGAGUCUGGUGGCAAGACACAGUGUCUUGGCCUCGGCAGGACCACUUCAUCCCAUUCGUUUUGACUCCUCUAAUAAUGACUGCCACUUGUUUAUAUUCUCUCAGGUACUUAUCUUGACCUAACUAUUUAUUCUCUACUUUGCAUUUACAUUCAAUUGAUUAUGACUCUCCAAUAUAUCCCUCUUAAAGCUCAAUUUGAUCGUUUUCAAGGCGUGUUUUUCCGGUAUCUGUUGUAUAUAAAUGUUCUAUUUUUGUCUUGCUGUCCAUAAACAUUUAAAAUGAAGUGUAUAUGCUUAUACAUCAAUUGUGAUGCAAAAAUUCUAAAUCUAAAAGGUCCUGUUUUAAAAUAUAUAUAUAUGGUAAUUGAGAAUUCAGAGUCCUAUGUCUUGAAACGUUACUGUUAGGAUAUUUAUAAACAUCAUAUUAUGCAUAUAAUAAAAUUUACAUUUGUCCUU